rnacentral:rRNA from 1 species
GACGAACGCUGGCGGCGUGCUUAACACAUGCAAGUCGAACGGUGACCCAGGGCUUGCCCUGGUGAUCAGUGGCGAACGGGUGAGUAAACACGUGGGCAACCUGCCCCCUGACUUCGGGAUAACUCCUCGAAAGAGGAGCUAAUACCGGAUACGACCACUUCGGACAUCCGAUGGUGGUGGAAAAGUUUUUUCGGUCAGGGAUGGGCCCGCGGCCUAUCAGCUAGUUGGUGGGGUAAUGGCCUACCAAGGCGACGACGGGUAGCCGGCCUGAGAGGGCGACCGGCCACACUGGGACUGAGACACGGCCCAGACUCCUACGGGAGGCAGCAGUGGGGAAUAUUGCGCAAUGGGCGAAAGCCUGACGCAGCGACGCCGCGUGAGGGAUGAAGGCCUCGGUGUAAC